GGGUUGUGAGGUUAAGCGACUAAGCGUACACGGUGGAUGCCCUGGCAGUCAGAGGCGAUGAAGGGCGUGCUAAUCUGCGAUAAGCGCCGGUAAGGUGAUAUGAACCGUUAUAACCGGCGAUACCCGAAUGGGGAAACCCAGUGUGACUCGUCACACUAUCAUUAACUGAAUCCAUAGGUUAAUGAGGCGAACCGGGGGAACUGAAACAUCUAAGUACCCCGAGGAAAAGAAAUCAACCGAGAUUCCCCCAGUAGCGGCGAGCGAACGGGGAGGAGCCCAGAGCCUGAAUCAGCAUGUGUGUUAGUGGAAGCGUCUGGAAAGGCGCGCGAUACAGGGUGACAGCCCCGUACACAAAAGCGCAUGUGCUGUGAGCUCGAUGAGUAGGGCGGGACACGUGGUAUCCUGUCUGAAUAUGGGGGGACCAUCCUCCAAGGCUAAAUACUCCUGACUGACCGAUAGUGAACCAGUACCGUGAGGGAAAGGCGAAAAGAACCCCGGCGAGGGGAGUGAAAAAGAACCUGAAACCGUGUACGUACAAGCAGUGGGAGCNNGUGACUGCGUACCUUUUGUAUAAUGGGUCAGCGACUUAUAUUCUGUAGCAAGGUUAACCGAAUAGGGGAGCCGGAGGGAAACCGAGUCUUAAUUGGGCGUUAAGUUGCAGGGUAUAGACCCGAAACCCGGUGAUCUAGCCAUGGGCAGGUUGAAGGUUGGGUAACACUAACUGGAGGACCGAACCGACUAAUGUUGAAAAAUUAGCGGAUGACCUGUGGCUGGGGGUGAAAGGCCAAUCAAACCGGGAGAUAGCUGGUUCUCCCCGAAAGCUAUUUAGGUAGCGCCUCGUGAAUUCAUCUCCGGGGGUAGAGCACUGUUUCGGCUAGGGGGCCAUCCCGGCUUACCAACCCGAUGCAAACUGCGAAUACCGGAGAAUGUUAUCACGGGAGACACACGGCGGGUGCUAACGUCCGUCGUGAAGAGGGAAACAACCCAGACCGCCAGCUAAGGUCCCAAAGUCAUGGUUAAGUGGGAAACGAUGUGGGAAGGCCCAGACAGCCAGGAUGUUGGCUUAGAAGCAGCCAUCAUUUAAAGAAAGCGUAAUAGCUCACUGGUCGAGUCGGCCUGCGCGGAAGAUGUAACGGGGCUAAACCAUGCACCGAAGCUGCGGCAGCGANNGUUGGGUAGGGGAGCGUUCUGUAAGCCUGCGAAGGUGGCCUGUGAGGGUUGCUGGAGGUAUCAGAAGUGCGAAUGCUGACAUAAGUAACGAUAAAGCGGGUGAAAAGCCCGCUCGCCGGAAGACCAAGGGUUCCUGUCCAACGUUAAUCGGGGCAGGGUGAGUCGACCCCUAAGGCGAGGCCGAAAGGCGUAGUCGAUGGGAAACGGGUUAAUAUUCCCGUACUUGGUGUUACUGCGAAGGGGGGACGGAGAAGGCUAUGUUGGCCGGGCGACGGUUGUCCCGGUUUAAGCGUGUAGGUGUGUGUUCCAGGUAAAUCCGGUUCACUUUAACACUGAGGCGUGAUGACGAGGCACUACGGUGCUGAAGCAACAAAUGCCCUGCUUCCAGGAAAAGCCUCUAAGCAUCAGGUAACAUCAAAUCGUACCCCAAACCGACACAGGUGGUCAGGUAGAGAAUACCAAGGCGCUUGAGAGAACUCGGGUGAAGGAACUAGGCAAAAUGGUGCCGUAACUUCGGGAGAAGGCACGCUGACACGUAGGUGAAGUGAUUUACUCAUGGAGCUGAAGUCAGUCGAAGAUACCAGCUGGCUGCAACUGUUUAUUAAAAACACAGCACUGUGCAAACACGAAAGUGGACGUAUACGGUGUGACGCCUGCCCGGUGCCGGAAGGUUAAUUGAUGGGGUCAGCGCAAGCGAAGCUCCUGAUCGAAGCCCCGGUAAACGGCGGCCGUAACUAUAACGGUCCUAAGGUAGCGAAAUUCCUUGUCGGGUAAGUUCCGACCUGCACGAAUGGCGUAAUGAUGGCCAGGCUGUCUCCACCCGAGACUCAGUGAAAUUGAACUCGCUGUGAAGAUGCAGUGUACCCGCGGCAAGACGGAAAGACCCCGUGAACCUUUACUAUAGCUUGACACUGAACAUUGAGCCUUGAUGUGUAGGAUAGGUGGGAGGCUUUGAAGCGUGGACGCCAGUCUGCGUGGAGCCGACCUUGAAAUACCACCCUUUAAUGUUUGAUGUUCUAACGUGGACCCGUGAUCCGGGUUGCGGACAGUGUCUGGUGGGUAGUUUGACUGGGGCGGUCUCCUCCUAAAGAGUAACGGAGGAGCACGAAGGUUGGCUAAUCCUGGUCGGACAUCAGGAGGUUAGUGCAAUGGCAUAAGCCAGCUUGACUGCGAGCGUGACGGCGCGAGCAGGUGCGAAAGCAGGUCAUAGUGAUCCGGUGGUUCUGAAUGGAAGGGCCAUCGCUCAACGGAUAAAAGGUACUCCGGGGAUAACAGGCUGAUACCGCCCAAGAGUUCAUAUCGACGGCGGUGUUUGGCACCUCGAUGUCGGCUCAUCACAUCCUGGGGCUGAAGUAGGUCCCAAGGGUAUGGCUGUUCGCCAUUUAAAGUGGUACGCGAGCUGGGUUUAGAACGUCGUGAGACAGUUCGGUCCCUAUCUGCCGUGGGCGCUGGAGAACUGAGGGGGGCUGCUCCUAGUACGAGAGGACCGGAGUGGACGCAUCACUGGUGUUCGGGUUGUCAUGCCAAUGGCACUGCCCGGUAGCUAAAUGCGGAAGAGAUAAGUGCUGAAAGCAUCUAAGCACGAAACUUGCCCCGAGAUGAGUUCUCCCUGAGACUUA
rnacentral:rRNA from 1 species